AUGGCACAUAGCUGGUGACUCAGUCAUUGUUACUCUCUCCACUCCCUGACCUGGCAGGAUCAGCAAAAGAGAGGACUAUGGUAGACUUGUUCUGCAAACAUGGCCCCAGCAUUAUCUCACAGCCAAGGACUCUUGGAAAACCUGGCCACUCUUCCAUGUGACUAAUGUACCCAGUGGCAGAAGGAGAGCUCCUGGCCUGCACAGACCAAGUGAACUCGAGACAACUCUCCGCCCUGCUGGCCAGCAGUGCCCAUCAAUUUCGGAGGCCACUGCGUGUCUCCAUCACAGAAGCCUGUGGUAGAGAGAAAAGCUGAUCCAGGAGUCCUGCUGUUUCGAAGUAGAGGCCCCAGGCCCUCUGGAAGCACAGCUGGCUGCUGGAAGCCGGAUGGCCUGUCUUACCUGCCCAGUGCCCAUGGUGCACUGCCCGCCAUUUCCCUUCCUUCUGUCUGUGCAGUGAAAGAUUCUUUCAAUCAGCAAACUCUUCCUGCACUUUACGAAGCCCCCCCCCCUCCAGAAUUUACAGUGCCCAAGCUUGUCAGCAUGAGGUUUUUUUCUUCCUUUCAUUUCCAAAUGUCCUACUUUCUAUGUGCACAACUUCGUAAAAA